rnacentral:lncRNA from 1 species
AUUAACCGAAUAACCGAAUAAUAGAAAUUAAAAAAAUAAGGUUUAAAAGUUAAAACAAUAAUCUCUCAUCUAACUCUCUGUCUCUAAUCUUACUCUCUCAGUCUCACUCAAAUCUCGACUCUCAUGCCUCAUACUCUCACUGCUCAAAAGCCAAAACCCAAAUCGAUCUAUCAUCUCAGAUCUCGAUCUUGAUCUUGAUAUACCCUUAUCCCUCGCCCCUCAGAUCUCUCACUCACUGCCUUACAACCCUAGUGUCCUAACCCAAAAGUCAAAACCCCAGUCCCCAAAUCGCGACUCCGCUCUGCCUCCGAACGAACCAAAGUUUGGACAUAACCUCAUCCCAAACUCAACUCCGGCGCCAGAAAAGUCGUCGUCGUCUAUUAUCUCUCCAGAAGCGGCCAAGUCCAACACUCCCAUCUCGUUGAAGUUCCUCUCUCCUCCGGGCUCCGACGGUUUCUAUCUCCGAGGUAUCUACUUAUAUUUCCCUCCACUGUUUGGUUGCUUACUUGCUUACAAAAUUAAUCCCUACAGAGUUUAAUUAAUAAGCUUGAAGUUUUUGACUGAUGUAGUAAUCUAUGGCUAUGUUUUAGUUAUGCCAGUUUUAAUCUUCUUCUUUAUUAGUUAUUAAUUAAGAUUAGUGUUGGUUCUUUGUGGAUCACUGCUUAAAACUUGAAACGGGUACCUGAUCCAGCUUUGCUUGCAUAAUGCAUACUGUUAGUCUGUUACUGUAGUUUACAUGUGUUUGAGAAAUGAAUGACUGGAUAUUUAUUGUUUACUGAUAUGUUAAACAAUAUAGAAUUAAUUUUAAAGAAUUUAAUUAUUGAUCUUUGUUGUAUAAAAUUAUAUGGUUUGGAGUAUGUUAAACAUAUUUUUUUUCUCAAUUUUUUUAAUUGGAGUUGUUUAUUGGAUUCUGGGGUUUAGUUCGGGCAAUAAUGAUUUCCAGUAUGUUGCUUCAACUUCUUGCUAUUAAGAGAGUGGCCUUAUUUGUUCUUCAUAACAAAUAAUUCUAUUUCUUUUAUGAAUAACCUUUGCACACCUUUAUCUAUAUUUAUAUAAUUAACUUAAUUCAUCUCUCGAUUCAUCAUUCCAAUUCAAAAGCCCUGCCAUGGCCCAUGAGAAUGUUUUUGUUAAGACUUCAAGUCUGUUUUUGUGCAUGAUGUACUUCCUGUUCCGUUACAGAAAAUUUUAAUAGUUUUUGCUGGCCUUUUGUCCAUAGACAAUAUAUACCAUUAAGUGUAAAUGUUGCUGAAAAGUUCAGGUUCUUACUUUUUAUAUUUUCCACAAAAUGUAAGACAUAGCAACCUAGCUUGCUUCAAAUCCCCUAUAAUGUGAAGCUUGGACUUGAACAUUUUCCUGUUGGUUUUAUAAAAGAAUGCCUAUACCUUUUAUAACAUUUUUUGUCGGUAAAAAUAUCAAAACAAAGAAAUUUUAAAAGUGUUUGUUGUAUUAUCAACAGUAUUUUGAUGUGGUUAUUGCAGGCCAAGUCUAUAGAACAGCCAUGUUCCCAUUGUAAUGAGGGUUAGUAUAUUGAAUACUUUCUUCACUUAGUAUCUGGGGUCCUUAUUUCAAUUCAGCCUUGUGAAAUCUAAUAUGAAAUGUUGAUGCUCUAGUUCUGCAUUUGUGAUGUAAUACAAAACAGUUGAAAAGCACCAGUCUUUUAAGUAAAAGUUACUGUAGUUUCUUUCAAGUAUUAAUGGCAUUGUACUUGCAGCUAAAGCUAUGCGGAAGAAGUGCAAGGCCUUCCAGUGCUUCAAAAAAUUAAUGCAUGUUAAGCUUGGAGAGGCACAAUUAUCAGCUAAGAAAUUCUUGGUUCUGGCCUUCUGCACGCCUACUGACUGUUGUGCUACCUGCUGCACUACUUGAGCUUCUGGCUUUUGCUGUUACUUUUUACUUGUUAUCCUGUUAAGGUCUUGAACUCUUACGGAUUAUUAAUUUAUUAUGGACUAAUUAGACUUUGUGAAACUAUGGAUUAUGUAUUACUAAUUUUAAUCAUGUUAAGGUUUUGAAUUAUUAUGUAUUGUUAAUUUAAUCAUGUUUUGGCCAUUGACUGCUUCUACAGACUGUUGUAAAUUGUAAUGUUGUUAAAUACUUAAAUGUUAAUCAUGGAAGCCUUGUUAUUAUCCAAAUAACCAAAUUUAUCAUUCGGUUAUUCGGUAAUUUAGUUAUCUCAAAAUCGGUUACUUGUUCGGAUAUCAAAAAUUCAAAUAUAUAGAGAAG